rnacentral:SRP_RNA from 1 species
GCCGGGCAUCGUGGCGGGCGCCUAUAGUCCCAGCUGCUCGGGAGGCUGAGGCAGGAGAAUGGCGUGAACCCGGGAGGCGGAACUUGCAGUGAGCUGAGAUCGCGCCACUGCACUCCAGCCUGGGUGACAGAGCGAGGGUCCGUCACAAAAAAAAGAAAAAAAAAAAAAAAAAAAAGUUGGGACCUAACUCUUGUGAUCCAAGAGACUAUAAUAGACACUUUUUUUUUUUUUUUGAGACGGACUCUCGCUCUGUCGCCCAGGCUGGAGUGCAGUGGCCGGAUCUCAGCUCACUGCAAGCUCCGCCUCCCGGGUUUACGCCAUUCUCCUGCCUCAG